rnacentral:rRNA from 1 species
CAAUAGCGUAUAUUAAAGUUGUUGCGGUUAAAAGCUCGUAGUUGGAUUUCUGCUGAGGACGACCGGUCCGCCCUCUGGGUGAGUAUCUGGUUCGGCCUGGGCAUCUUCUUGGAGAACGUAGCCGCACUUGACUGUGUGGUGCGGUAUCCAGGGACUUUUUACUUUUUUGAGGAAAAUUAGAGUGUUUCAAGCAGGCACACGCCUUGAAUACAUUAGCAUGGAAUAAUAAGAUAGGACCUCGGUUCUAUUUUGUUGGUUUCUAGAGCUGAGGUAAUGAUUAAUAGGGAUAGUUGGGGGGCAUUCGUAUUUAACUGUCAGAGGUGAAAUUCUUGGGAUUUGUUAAAGACGGACUACUGCGAAAGCAUUUGCCAAGGAUGUUUU